rnacentral:tRNA from 1 species
GUCUUUGUAGUAUAAUUAAUUACUCUGGUCUUGUAAACCAGAAAUGGAGAAGAAUUCUCCCCAAGACA